GCUCUGGUUACCCUCGAUGGAAAAAAGCUAUGAUGUCUAAACAACGGAGUAUAGGAUUCUUAGGUCUUAAUUGCUAGUUGUAGAUGGUGUUCUUUCUUUGACUAAACGCACAAUCAAACAAAUGGUCAAUUGCCCAAACGGGCUAAAAUCGUGAAGCGGGGCCAAGAUAGGGCAUUGAUCAAACUAUUCACUAUUAUUCGCCAUAGAGGUCAAAAAUGAAAAUGAAAAAAUGAAAAUGAAAAAGAGAAGAUAAAAAUUAUCUAUCACCUUGCUUCAAAACCUCUACAACUAACUACUUCUUCCUCUGCCGCAAAGACCUGGACUUGCUAGGAGGUGGUUCCCGGUUAUUCAUUGUCUUUCUCUUGCCGCGAGCGUCAAUGUUAUCAUCGCCAGCGUCACUGUCCAGCUUCUGUCUCGUGGCUCGUUUCGAUCUCGUCUUCCCACAGUAAUCUCCAUCGGUGCUCUCUGGGGGGCUAGACGCUUUUCGUUUCAAACCUUGACGACGCUGAGUCGGGGGUGAGCUGCCCGUUCCGGUUGGGGGUAUAAUAUGGGAACCGCUAGCUUUGCCAUAGCCAUCUUGGAACAGAGUACCGGGUUCCCCCGAACCCUUCCCAUUUUGCGAGGUCGAGGUUGCGGAUUGCGUUGACAUUGACGUUGCUGCUGUGGAAGAAGUGGAAAGACGACCAGAGCGUUGCUUGGAGUUUUCCGUUGACGAUGACGGCGAGGAUGCCAUGAUUGGGAUGGAUUCUAAGUCCUCCUCCUGUGCUGAGGCUGAGAUGACGGAUUUGAGAUGUGAUCCAUCGCGCUUAUUGUGAUCCUUGCCAUUGUUCUUUGGUCUGUGAGAUGGUCCAGUGGUUGUCUUCUGCGAUUUUCCAUAAAUGCCUUGCUGGGAUGCGGAUAGAAAGGUUGGAGGUGGGGUACGAUAUCCUCCAUCGUCUUCGCCAUCAUCAUCACCAUCAGCUAUACCUCCCUCUCUUCCUUCCUCACUAAACCCCUCAUUAUCAAAUACGGGCGUAUCAACACUUUCGACAACCACGUUCCGCUUUCCUGUCUUCCUUGGGCGUCCUGGCUGUUUCCGGCCAGUCACGGACUUCAAGAACGACGACGGUGGUGGGAGAUGCGAAGGGGAAGCAGAUGAAGGAGAAGGAGAAGGAGAAGAAUAUUUCUGAAGCUUAUGGUCCCUUUUCGGUUGUGAAUCCUUGAAUAUCUCCCGCCAAUUCUUCAGCAACGCUACUUUCUCCCCAUUGCCCGGCUCAUAUAGCUCACCCUGAUCAUCCAGGAAGCUUGAGGGCCGCCAAAGUAUGCGGCAGAAGGAAUUGGUAUUGGUAUCUUUCUUGUUAUCACUGUCGUCGCGCUCUUGUUCGCCUUGCUUCAUUGUAUUCCCCUUCCUCAUCACAUUUUUCUUUCUCACCGAUGGGCCUUUGGAGGGUGUCUGUGGCUUAAUGUCAUGCUUGUGCAGAAUGGACAGGUCAUCAUCGAAGUACUCGUCCGUGCAAUAGUCCCAGUCGGAUGCGCUGUCAAGUGCAUCAUAAGCUCCCUGGUCCAUGUAAACAGGCGAAUGGAUUGUGCCUGCUGCUAGGUCGUCCUAAAAAAGGCAGAAUGACACACAAUUCCCUCUUCCCCGCGAGCAAAGGAGUGAGGGAAUCGACCGGAUAUUUUCUUUAGUUCGAUAAACGAAGACACAAAUGGUUUGUGAGAGAGGAAGGAUUGAAGAGGGCUUUGGGAUGGGUGGGAAAAUUGAGACUGACCGCAAGCUCUCUCUCCCCUUCAUCGAACCAGAACCAUUCAGCAUCGAAGUCAUCAUCGUAGUACUCCUCGUCAUCAGACAUAGUAGGUGUAAUGGGACGCAGUUUUUUACCCUUCCAACUGUUCUUUGCUUCUUGUCUAAGUAUUUGCAGUGUAUGUAUAUAUGGUGUCCUGUGUGAGUGGUCGGGGAGGAGCGGGGAUGGUGGAGAGAUGCAAGAAUAGCUAAGCUCAGAACUUGGCGAUUCAUGUACUGUACAAGCACAUAUCUAGAGAGGUCGGGUGUCUUGCAGGAAACAGUUGAAGGAAAUUAUCGAAGGGGAAAUACUAAUCACUU
rnacentral:sRNA from 2 species